UACGUAGGGUGCUAGCGUUAUCCGGAUUUACUGGGCGUAAAGGGUGCGUAGGUGGUCUUUCAAGUCGGUGGUUAAAGGCUACGGCUCAACCGGAUUACGCCGCCGAAACUGGAAGUCUUGAGUGCAGGAGAGGAAAGUGGAAUUCUCAGUGUAGCGGUGAAAUGCGUAGAUAUUGAGAAGAACACCAGUUGCGAAGGCGGCUUCCUGCACUGACACUGACACUGGGGCACGAAAGCGUGGGUAGCAAACAGG
rnacentral:rRNA from 1 species